ACCCAAAUAAGACGCUGGUAUACUUAGUUUGAUUUCGAAAAAAAUCAAUUUUUGGUGAAAAAAUUCGAUACGGGGGGGUAUACCCGAAAAAUGAAAAAACCCAAACUUUGAAGGUCGAUAUCUCGGCUUCUAUGGGAGCUAUCGGAAAAAUUCCAACGGUUUUGUCUUAGUUUCGUCAUUCUGAAUCCAACGAGACCAUCCGCAAGGUCGUAGCUCUUACGAUAGCCGAGAUAUGGCAUUUUUGAUGCCCAUUUUUGGCCUCAAAAACGGACGUCGAAAACGACUUUUUCAGGAUUUUCAAAGUGCUCUCAUUCCCUUAGUUCUGCUCGAAUCCUGUUAUAACCCGGUGUUUUCGUAAUCUAGGUGACCCAAAUAAGACGCUGGUAUACUUAGUUUGAUUUCGAAAAAAAUCAAUUUUUGGUGAAAAAAUUCGAUACGGGGGGGUAUACCCGAAAAAUGAAAAAACCCAAACUUUGAAGGUCGAUAUCUCGGCUUCUAUGGGAGCUAUCGGAAAAAUUCCAACGGUUUUGUCUUAGUUUCGUCAUUCUGAAUCCAACGAGACCAUCCGCAAGGUCGUAGCUCUUACGAUAGCCGAGAUAUGGCAUUUUUGAUGCCCAUUUUUGGCCUCAAAAACGGACGUCGAAAACGACUUUUUCAGGAUUUUCAAAGUGCUCUCAUUCCCUUAGUUCUGCUCGAAUCCUGUUAUAACCCGGUGUUUUCGUAAUCUAGGUGACCCAAAUAAGACGCUGGUAUACUUAGUUUGAUUUCGAAAAAAAUCAAUUUUUGGUGAAAAAAUUCGAUACGGGGGGGUAUACCCGAAAAAUGAAAAAACCCAAACUUUGAAGGUCGAUAUCUCGGCUUCUAUGGGAGCUAUCGGAAAAAUUCCAACGGUUUUGUCUUAGUUUCGUCAUUCUGAAUCCAACGAGACCAUCCGCAAGGUCGUAGCUCUUACGAUAGCCGAGAUAUGGCAUUUUUGAUGCCCAUUUUUGGCCUCAAAAACGGACGUCGAAAACGACUUUUUCAGGAUUUUCAAAGUGCUCUCAUUCCCUUAGUUCUGCUCGAAUCCUGUUAUAACCCGGUGUUUUCGUAAUCUAGGUGACCCAAAUAAGACGCUGGUAUACUUAGUUUGAUUUCGAAAAAAAUCAAUUUUUGGUGAAAAAAUUCGAUACGGGGGGGUAUACCCGAAAAAUGAAAAAACCCAAACUUUGAAGGUCGAUAUCUCGGCUUCUAUGGGAGCUAUCGGAAAAAUUCCAACGGUUUUGUCUUAGUUUCGUCAUUCUGAAUCCAACGAGACCAUCCGCAAGGUCGUAGCUCUUACGAUAGCCGAGAUAUGGCAUUUUUGAUGCCCAUUUUUGGCCUCAAAAACGGACGUCGAAAACGACUUUUUCAGGAUUUUCAAAGUGCUCUCAUUCCCUUAGUUCUGCUCGAAUCCUGUUAUAACCCGGUGUUUUCGUAAUCUAGGUGACCCAAAUAAGACGCUGGUAUACUUAGUUUGAUUUCGAAAAAAAUCAAUUUUUGGUGAAAAAAUUCGAUACGGGGGGGUAUACCCGAAAAAUGAAAAAACCCAAACUUUGAAGGUCGAUAUCUCGGCUUCUAUGGGAGCUAUCGGAAAAAUUCCAACGGUUUUGUCUUAGUUUCGUCAUUCUGAAUCCAACGAGACCAUCCGCAAGGUCGUAGCUCUUACGAUAGCCGAGAUAUGGCAUUUUUGAUGCCCAUUUUUGGCCUCAAAAACGGACGUCGAAAACGACUUUUUCAGGAUUUUCAAAGUGCUCUCAUUCCCUUAGUUCUGCUCGAAUCCUGUUAUAACCCGGUGUUUUCGUAAUCUAGGUGACCCAAAUAAGACGCUGGUAUACUUAGUUUGAUUUCGAAAAAAAUCAAUUUUUGGUGAAAAAAUUCGAUACGGGGGGGUAUACCCGAAAAAUGAAAAAACCCAAACUUUGAAGGUCGAUAUCUCGGCUUCUAUGGGAGCUAUCGGAAAAAUUCCAACGGUUUUGUCUUAGUUUCGUCAUUCUGAAUCCAACGAGACCAUCCGCAAGGUCGUAGCUCUUACGAUAGCCGAGAUAUGGCAUUUUUGAUGCCCAUUUUUGGCCUCAAAAACGGACGUCGAAAACGACUUUUUCAGGAUUUUCAAAGUGCUCUCAUUCCCUUAGUUCUGCUCGAAUCCUGUUAUAACCCGGUGUUUUCGUAAUCUAGGUGACCCAAAUAAGACGCUGGUAUACUUAGUUUGAUUUCGAAAAAAAUCAAUUUUUGGUGAAAAAAUUCGAUACGGGGGGGUAUACCCGAAAAAUGAAAAAACCCAAACUUUGAAGGUCGAUAUCUCGGCUUCUAUGGGAGCUAUCGGAAAAAUUCCAACGGUUUUGUCUUAGUUUCGUCAUUCUGAAUCCAACGAGACCAUCCGCAAGG